rnacentral:tRNA from 1 species
GCGCCCGUAGUGAAGUGGAUAUCACAUUACCCUCCGGAGGUAAGAGCCCGAGUUCGAGUCUCGGCGGGCGCACUA